UACGGGGGGGGCAAGCGUUGUUCGGAAUUACUGGGCGUAAAGGGCUCGUAGGUGGCCAACUAAGUCAGACGUGAAAUCCCUCGGCUUAACCGGGGAACUGCGUCUGAUACUGGAUGGCUUGAGUUCGGGAGAGGGAUGCGGAAUUCCAGGUGUAGCGGUGAAAUGCGUAGAUAUCUGGAGGAACACCGGUGGCGAAGGCGGCAUCCUGGACCAAUAUUGACGCUGAGGAGCGAAAGCUAGGGGAGCAAACGGG
rnacentral:rRNA from 1 species